rnacentral:rRNA from 1 species
ACCAGACUCCUACGGGAGGCAGCAGUGGGGAAUAUUGGGCAAUGGAGGAAACUCUUACCCAGCAAUGCCGCGUGAAUGAAGAAGGUCUUCGGAUUGUAAAGUUCUUUAAUUGGGGACGAAAAAAAUGACGGUACCCAAGGAAUAAGCCCCAGCUAACUACGUGCCAGCAGCCGCGGUAAUACGUAGGGGGCAAGCGUUGUUCGGAAUGACUGGGCGUAAAGGGUGCGUAGGCGGUGUAGCAAGUUAGAAGUGAAAAUCCUAGGGCUUAACUCAGGUGCUGCUUCUAAAACUGGUAUACUUGAGUGCAGGAGAGGAUAGUGGAAUUCCAGGUGUAGCGGUGAAAUGCGUAGAUAUUAGGAGGAACAUCAGUGGCGAAGGCGACUUUCUGGCCUGUAACUGACGCUGAGGCGCGAAAGUGUGGGGAGCAAACAGGAUUAGAUACCCGAGUA